AUAAAAUAUUAUUUGUAUUAUAUGAUGGUGGUAUGUUAAUGUUACAAAAUUAUUAAUGAAGAAAAAAAAUUUAUUUUUGUUACUGGUCUGUUUCAUAAUUCUUUUUUAAAUUGGUAUAUUGUAAGAUAUCUAUGCAAAAAUGUUAUGUGACGCAUUUUUAUUUAAGAAUGUAAUGUGUAAUAAACCGUAGAAUGUGUUUGGCCUGGAAAUGAUUAAGCGCCUCUUGUUUGUCAUUUUGUUUUUAAUUAAGAAUGACAUGAAUGGUGGUCACAUUCAGGAUACCUG